rnacentral:rRNA from 1 species
AUGGCGGCGGCGCGACCAUGGUCCAGCCUCCAUGAAGACCUUCUCCACCGUAUCAUCCUCCUGCUAACGUGCAUCGCCGACCGCGUUAGGGCGUCCGCCGUCAGCAAGCACUGGCGCCAGGUCGCGCUGCAGAACCCGUCCCCGCUGCCAUACCUCGUCAGGCCGUCCACCGCCCGGACCGAGAGCUACCGGAUCUUCGGUCGCUUCGCCGAUCCGCGCCCGUACCUCUCCGCCGAGGGCCGCGCAGAGCGUUUCUGCGGCUCGGCUCCAGGCGGCUGGUUCGUGGUCGCAUCCCCGCAAGGGCGCGGCCACAUCAGGUGUCCCAUGAUGAUCCGCGCAGCCGCCAUGUCUGCCGCCCCGUCUUCUGGUGCCUGCGUGGUCGCUGCCAUAACGUCGACCAGGACAACCAUGGCGUUCUGCCGGCCGGGCAUGGAGUGCUGGACGUCGCUGCCGGCAGAGAUGACGGCCCGGCCCAACGCCCAAGACCUGACUUACCACGACGGAUGGUUCUGGGCCAUCGACUCAGAUGAUGACCUGUCCUGCUACAAGGCCGAACUUUCGACAUCUAGGCAAACCAUUCUACAUCUUGCCUACGGGAUUGGUGCUCCCCGGACGGACAUGGCACACGGCGAGAUCGUGUCCCGCUACCUCCUGCCCUCCGCCUCUGGCGCCGAUCUGCUGAUGGUGAGGAGAUUCAUCUCGCCGGCGACAGGCCGCACGUCCCGGUUCCAAGUCUACAGGCUACAGAAGCCACAGGUGGGCCGGCCGGCUUCCUGGCGCGUCUACAAGAUGACCCGGCAGCUGCUCUUCGUCGGCCGGGCCUGCUCCAAGGCCUUCGACACGAGACACGCCGGCAACCCGGGCUACAUCUACUUCCUCGACGACGUCUACCCUGGUGCUCCGCACGAGCAGAACGAGUAUCCUUGUGCUGAUGCCGGCGAGUGGGAUUGCUCAAUCCCUGGUGAGACCCAGCGCUGCCUGCCAUCGGCUCCACCCUCGGACACCUCGCCGUGCAUUUGGUACCACCAUUAA